AUAGAAAGAGAGAAGAAAGGAACAAAAAAAACUGGUGAGGUGUGGUGUCAAAGUACCUGUGGAUGGUGUCUCUUCUCUUUGGACGUUUUAAGUUUUGUUUCUUCUCGCUUUGUUGUUGUGUGAUUU
rnacentral:ribozyme from 1 species